UGCUAAUCUGCGAUAAGCGUCGGUAAGGUGAUAUGAACCGUUAUAACCGGCGAUUUCCGAAUGGGGAAACCCAGUGUGUUUCGACACACUAUCAUUAACUGAAUCCAUAGGUUAAUGAGGCGAACCGGGGGAACUGAAACAUCUAAGUACCCCGAGGAAAAGAAAUCAACCGAGAUUCCCCCAGUAGCGGCGAGCGAACGGGGAGCAGCCCAGAGCCUGAAUCAGUGUGUGUGUUAGUGGAAGCGUCUGGAAAGGCGUGCGAUACAGGGUGACAGCCCCGUACACAAAAAUGCACAUGCUGUGAGCUCGAUGAGUAGGGCGGGACACGUGGUAUCCUGUCUGAAUAUGGGGGGACCAUCCUCCAAGGCUAAAUACUCCUGACUGACCGAUAGUGAACCAGUACCGUGAGGGAAAGGCGAAAAGAACCCCGGCGAGGGGAGUGAAAAAGAACCUGAAACCGUGUACGUACAAGCAGUGGGAGCACGCUUAGGCGUGUGACUGCGUACCUUUUGUAUAAUGGGUCAGCGACUUAUAUUCUGUAGCAAGGUUAACCGAAUAGGGGAGCCGAAGGGAAACCGAGUCUUAACUGGGCGUUAAGUUGCAGGGUAUAGACCCGAAACCCGGUGAUCUAGCCAUGGGCAGGUUGAAGGUUGGGUAACACUAACUGGAGGACCGAACCGACUAAUGUUGAAAAAUUAGCGGAUGACUUGUGGCUGGGGGUGAAAGGCCAAUCAAACCGGGAGAUAGCUGGUUCUCCCCGAAAGCUAUUUAGGUAGCGCCUCGUGAAUUCAUCUCCGGGGGUAGAGCACUGUUUCGGCAAGGGGGUCAUCCCGACUUACCAACCCGAUGCAAACUGCGAAUACCGGAGAAUGUUAUCACGGGAGACACACGGCGGGUGCUAACGUCCGUCGUGAAGAGGGAAACAACCCAGACCGCCAGCUAAGGUCCCAAAGUCAUGGUUAAGUGGGAAACGAUGUGGGAAGGCCCAGACAGCCAGGAUGUUGGCUUAGAAGCAGCCAUCAUUUAAAGAAAGCGUAAUAGCUCACUGGUCGAGUCGGCCUGCGCGGAAGAUGUAACGGGGCUAAACCAUGCACCGAAGCUGCGGCAGCGACGCUUAUGCGUUGUUGGGUAGGGGAGCGUUCUGUAAGCCUGCGAAGGUGUGCUGUGAGGCAUGCUGGAGGUAUCAGAAGUGCGAAUGCUGACAUAAGUAACGAUAAAGCGGGUGAAAAGCCCGCUCGCCGGAAGACCAAGGGUUCCUGUCCAACGUUAAUCGGGGCAGGGUGAGUCGACCCCUAAGGCGAGGCCGAAAGGCGUAGUCGAUGGGAAACAGGUUAAUAUUCCUGUACUUGGUGUUACUGCGAAGGGGGGACGGAGAAGGCUAUGUUGGCCGGGCGACGGUUGUCCCGGUUUAAGCGUGUAGGCUGGUUUUCCAGGCAAAUCCGGAAAAUCAAGGCUGAGGCGUGAUGACGAGGCACUACGGUGCUGAAGCAACAAAUGCCCUGCUUCCAGGAAAAGCCUCUAAGCAUCAGGUAACAUCAAAUCGUACCCCAAACCGACACAGGUGGUCAGGUAGAGAAUACCAAGGCGCUUGAGAGAACUCGGGUGAAGGAACUAGGCAAAAUGGUGCCGUAACUUCGGGAGAAGGCACGCUGAUAUGUAGGUGAAGUCCCUCGCGGAUGGAGCUGAAAUCAGUCGAAGAUACCAGCUGGCUGCAACUGUUUAUUAAAAACACAGCACUGUGCAAACACGAAAGUGGACGUAUACGGUGUGACGCCUGCCCGGUGCCGGAAGGUUAAUUGAUGGGGUCAGCGCAAGCGAAGCUCUUGAUCGAAGCCCCGGUAAACGGCGGCCGUAACUAUAACGGUCCUAAGGUAGCGAAAUUCCUUGUCGGGUAAGUUCCGACCUGCACGAAUGGCGUAAUGAUGGCCAGGCUGUCUCCACCCGAGACUCAGUGAAAUUGAACUCGCUGUGAAGAUGCAGUGUACCCGCGGCAAGACGGAAAGACCCCGUGAACCUUUACUAUAGCUUGACACUGAACAUUGAGCCUUGAUGUGUAGGAUAGGUGGGAGGCUUUGAAGUGUGGACGCCAGUCUGCAUGGAGCCGACCUUGAAAUACCACCCUUUAAUGUUUGAUGUUCUAACGUUGACCCGUAAUCCGGGUUGCGGACAGUGUCUGGUGGGUAGUUUGACUGGGGCGGUCUCCUCCUAAAGAGUAACGGAGGAGCACGAAGGUUGGCUAAUCCUGGUCGGACAUCAGGAGGUUAGUGCAAUGGCAUAAGCCAGCUUGACUGCGAGCGUGACGGCGCGAGCAGGUGCGAAAGCAGGUCAUAGUGAUCCGGUGGUUCUGAAUGGAAGGGCCAUCGCUCAACGGAUAAAAGGUACUCCGGGGAUAACAGGCUGAUACCGCCCAAGAGUUCAUAUCGACGGCGGUGUUUGGCACCUCGAUGUCGGCUCAUCACAUCCUGGGGCUGAAGUAGGUCCCAAGGGUAUGGCUGUUCGCCAUUUAAAGUGGUACGCGAGCUGGGUUUAGAACGUCGUGAGACAGUUCGGUCCCUAUCUGCCGUGGGCGCUGGAGAACUGAGGGGGGCUGCUCCUAGUACGAGAGGACCGGAGUGGACGCAUCACUGGUGUUCGGGUUGUCAUGCCAAUGGCACUGCCCGGUAGCUAAAUGCGGAAGAGAUAAGUGCUGAAAGCAUCUAAGCACGAAACUUGCCCCGAGAUGAGUUCUCCCUGACUCCUUGAGAGUCCUGAAGGAACGUUGAAGACGACGACGUUGAUAGGCCGGGUGUGUAAGCGCAGCGAUGCGUUGAGCUAACCGGUACUAAUGAACCGUGAGGCUUAACCUUACAACGCCGAAGCUGUU
rnacentral:rRNA from 1 species